rnacentral:lncRNA from 1 species
AACCUUUAAAGGUAGAGGAUUUGGGGGGUGGGGGGGGCAAAAAGCCUCACCCGAGAGCUGUAGAAAGCAGAGUCCAACUCAACACAUUUCAGGCAGCGAAGACCAUGGCUGCAAGACAAGUAACAAGAACGAAGGCAAUGUAACCAGAACCUCUAUCAAGCACUCAGUUCAAUCCUCAAAGGCCUAUAAAUAUUAUACAAGGAUGAACAAUUACAGCUGGACAGGAGGAGAAGCACGGCCAGUGUGA